GUGUUGAAACACAGGUUCCCAUAGCAUCACUGAAGUUAAGCAAAGUCAAGCCUAGUCAGUACCUAGAUGGGUAACUGUUUGGGAAUACCAGGUGC